rnacentral:rRNA from 1 species
GACGAACCGUGCGAACGUUAUUCGGAUUCACUGGGCUUAAAGGGCGCGUAGGCGGUGGACCCAGUCCGGGGUGAAAUCUUUCGGCUCAACCGGAAAAGUGCCUCGGAUACUGGUUCACUCGAGGGAGGUAGGGGCAUGUGGAACUUCCGGUGGAGCGGUGAAAUGCGUUGAUAUCGGAAGGAACGCCGGUGGCGAAGGCGGCCUGCUGGGCAGUUGCUGACACUGAGGCGCGACAGCGUGGGGAGCAAACAGG